UGGGAUAUAGCCAAGGCGGUAAGGCACAGGACUUUGACUCCUGCAUUCGAUGGUUCGAGUCCAUCUAUCCCAG
rnacentral:tRNA from 1 species